AAGGGUAUAGCUCAGUGGUAGAGCACAUGCUUAGCAUGCACAGGGUCCUGGGUUCAAUCUCCAGUACCUCUA
rnacentral:tRNA from 1 species